AUUGAACGCUGGCGGCAUGCCUUACACAUGCAAGUCGAACGGUAACGCGGGGCAACCUGGCGACGAGUGGCGAACGGGUGAGUAAUAUAUCGGAACGUGCCCAGUAGUGGGGGAUAGCCCGGCGAAAGCCGGAUUAAUACCGCAUACGACCUACGGGUGAAAGGCGGGGGAUCGCAAGACCUCGCGCUAUUGGAGCGGCCGAUAUCAGAUUAGGUAGUUGGUGGGGUAAAGGCCUACCAAGCCUACGAUCUGUAGCUGGUCUGAGAGGACGACCAGCCACACUGGGACUGAGACACGGCCCAGACUCCUAC
rnacentral:rRNA from 1 species